rnacentral:misc_RNA from 1 species
GUCGUCUCCUUUUCCCUCCUUCUGGUUCUCAGAGGGUUUGGGGUGGUCUCUCAAGGGGAGGGAGCGACCGAGCUCAGUCUUGGGCCAGACUUCUCCACCCGAACGGGUGAGAAGGCCCUGAAUUGACGAAGGGAAGGACACCGCAGUCGUGCCGACUUUCACCUGAGCGUGGAACCGAAGCGACUGAGGGGUCUCGACCCGUCCGUGAGACGAACCAACGGGGACACAGUCACCCAAAGUUCGACCUCGGAUCAGGUAGGGUUACCCGCUGAACUUAAGC